rnacentral:rRNA from 1 species
CAGCCGCCGCGGGAAUACGAAGGGUGCAAGCGUUAAUCGGAAUUACUGGGCGUAAAGCGUGCGUAGGCGGUUUGUUAAGUCUGCUGUGAAAUCCCCGGGCUCAACCUGGGAAUGGCAAUGGAUACUGGCAAGCUAGAGUGUGUCAGAGGAUGGUGGAAUUCCCGGUGUAGCGGUGAAAUGCGUAGAGAUCGGGAGGAACAUCAGUGGCGGAGGCGGCCAUCUGGGACAACACUGACGCUGAGGCACGAAAGCGUGGGGAGCAAACAGGAUUAGAUACCCGGGUAGUCCCUGUCUCUUAUAC